UAUACUUAGUAUGGAUACUAGCAGCCUUUAAGUUUGGUUUGUAUUCAGUGUGGGGCUUGGAUAAAGAAUUUGCAUUGCUUUGACAGAGCCAAGGAAAUAUAGUUCCACAGGACCAAUAAAACAUAGCUGACUUCCCAUGGUAAACAGCAGUGACUACAACUAUGAUUGCAGAGACACCUUCUGAAACACGUUCUUUUAAAGACAGGAAGGAAAAGGAAAGGGCGAGAAAGGGAAAUAUAAACAAACAACAAGGAAGAGAAAGAUGACCCUCGUCCAGAUGUUUUACCUCAUGGAGAAAGAAUCUGCCUGGAUGUAAAGAGACUUUGUCCCCAACCAACAUGCAUAUGUUCUCACAUAUAAAGUGUGUACAUGUGUAGGUGUCUCUCCACAUGUUUGGGAAAACUGCAAAUGCAGGGUGCUCGCACAGAGAAGCUUGAGCAUGAAUAGGCUUGUGUCAGACAGACAUGGUAAAAAAUGCAGUUGGGACAGAGCCUGCUGCUGUAAUGCCAAUCCCCUCCCCAUUGUUUCUCCAUAUGAUAAAAAGGAGUAAGGAGGCAGGCAUAUAAAGUAUUAGGUGAGCCCCAUGCUGUAAAUUGGGAUUAAAGGUGAAUCCAGUUUUUUAAAAGAUUGAAGUAAACUGGUUAAUUGAUCAGUUAAAGCAAGUUAAUUUAUACUCAUAAGGAAAAUUCUCAAAAGACAAAGUCUGUAAAGGAUAUAUAAUCAGACCAAAUUAUGAAGUGCAUGUUCAUGAUGAUUGAGAUAUCUGUUUUGAGUUUGGGUCAUUUUAUUGUCAUGGCUUCCUUAGCAAAGAUAUUCAAGACCAGUAAUAGGUUCUGUAUAUGGAUUUUGCACCAUACAAAAGAAUUGCUCUUCAAUAAAUAUUCAGCAAACAUUCAUAA